UACGAAGGGGGCUAGCGUUGCUCGGAAUCACUGGGCGUAAAGGGUGCGUAGGCGGGUCUUUAAGUCAGGGGUGAAAUCCUGGAGCUCAACUCCAGAACUGCCUUUGAUACUGAAGAUCUUGAGUUCGGGAGAGGUGAGUGGAACUGCGAGUGUAGAGGUGAAAUUCGUAGAUAUUCGCAAGAACACCAGUGGCGAAGGCGGCUCACUGGCCCGGUACUGACGCUCAGGUGCGAAAGCGUGGGGAGCAAACAGG
rnacentral:rRNA from 1 species